GACGAACGCUGGCGGCGUGCCUAAUACAUGCAAGUCGAGCGGAAGUUGGAGAGCUUGCUCUUCAACUUUAGCGGCGGACGGGUGAGUAACACGUGGGCAACCUGCCCUGCAGAUCGGGAUAACUCCGGGAAACCGGUGCUAAUACCGAAUAGUUUUCGCCACCUCCUGGUGGCGUACGGAAAGACGGUUUCGGCUGUCACUGCAGGAUGGGCCCGCGGCGCAUUAGCUAGUUGGUGGGGUCACGGCCCACCAAGGCGACGAUGCGUAGCCGACCUGAGAGAGUGAUGGGGCACACUGGGACUGAUAGACGGCCCAGACUCCUACGGGAGGCAGCAGUAGGGAAGCUUCCGCAAUGGACGAAAGUCUGACGGAGCAACGCCGCGUGAGUGACGAAGGUUUUCGGAUCGUAAAAUUCUGUUGUGAGGGAAGAACAAGUACCACUUAACUACUGGUACCUUGACGGUACCUCACCAGAAAGCCACGGCUAACUACGUGCCAGCCGCCGCGGUAA
rnacentral:rRNA from 1 species